CCGCCUUUUCUCAUCGCAGGAGCUCCGAGGCGGAGGGGGCUGCCGGACACAAGGGGCCGGCUAAAUUGUGCGGUUAACGGUCAAAGCCCCCCUGCCUACUUUGACACUCAUUUAAAGAUGACGGGGAACAAUAGAGAUUUGUUCUUAGCAACUCUUUCUUGUGCCACGGGGUCCCCGUCGGCCGUGCCGGGCGCUGCGAGGCCUGCGAGCGGGGCCUGGGCCCGGGCCCACCUGCCCCCAGCGCUCCCCACUUUAACACAACGAGACAGGACAAUCCCAGCCUCCAGGCCUGAUGUCACAGAAUUUCCAUGAUUAAGUGUCUGCUAAUUAAACACACAGUGUAUA
rnacentral:lncRNA from 12 species